GGACGGAUGAGCACACGCGGCUGCUUAUCCGGUGGAGAGUGGCUCAUGAAGCGCUCUUCACCGGAAAGCGUAAUGCUGCCAUCAAAGGCUUUGAAUCUUUUGUGGAGGAGCAGAGCCUGCAAGGCAGGGUGACGGCGGCGUUUGUUAAAAAAAAAGGGAAAACCUGAAACAAAAAUACAAAGAUCUGAAAUGUCCGCAGACGGGGGUGAGCACUGAGGAUGGAGAGCCCACAGCAGCAUCCUGGAAGUGGUACACUGCCAUGGAUGAGGCAAUUGGGGGCAGACCCUCCAUCUCUCCUCCUGCCCUCGUUGCCUCAUGUGGGCCGGAUGCUGCUGUGGUCUCUUCAUCCUUAGUGAGGCCAGAGCCAGCAAGAGCCAGGAAAAGGGCUAUAGAUGUGGAGGAGCUGAUCCGGGACACGGAGGAGCGAGAAGAGGAGAGAGAGCGGAAGGCAGCUGAGAGGGAGGA